CUGGGGGUACUCGAGUGGCGAACGGGUGAGUAACACGUGGGUGAUCUGCCUUGCACUCUGGGAUAAGCUUGGGAAACUGGGUCUAAUACCGGAUAGGAACCGUCUUUAGUGUGGUGGUUGGAAAGUUUUUUCAGUGCAAGAUGAGCUCGCGGCCUAUCAGCUUGUUGGUGGGGUAAUGGCCUACCAAGGCGUCGACGGGUAGCCGGCCUGAGAGGGUGUACGGCCACAUUGGGACUGAGAUACGGCCCAGACUCCUACGGGAGGCAGCAGUGGGGAAUAUUGCACAAUGGGCGGAAGCCUGAUGCAGCGACGCCGCGUGGGGGAUGACGGCCUUCGGGUUGUAAACUCCUUUCGACAGGGACGAAGCGUAAGUGACGGUACCUGUAUAAGAAGCACCGGCUAACUACGUGCCAGCAGCCGCGGUAAUACGUAGGGUGCGAGCGUUGUCCGGAAUUACUGGGCGUAAAGAGCUCGUAGGUGGUUUGUCGCGUCGUCUGUGAAAUUCCGGGGCUUAACUUCGGGCGUGCAGGCGAUACGGGCAUAACUUGAGUGCUGUAGGGGUAACUGGAAUUCCUGGUGUAGCGGUGAAAUGCGCAGAUAUCAGGAGGAACACCGAUGGCGAAGGCAGGUUACUGGGCAGUUUACUGACGCUGAGGAGCGAAAGCAUGGGUAGCAAACAGGAUUAGAUACCCUGGUAGUCCAUGCCGUAAACGGUGGGCGCUAGGUGUAGGGGGCUUCCACGUCUUCUGUGCCGUAGCUAACGCAUUAAGCGCCCCGCCUGAGGAGUACGGCCGCAAGGCUAAAAACUCAAAAGGAAUUGACGGGGGGCCCGCACAAACCUGCGGGAGCAUGGUGGAUUAAUUCCGAUGCAACCG
rnacentral:rRNA from 1 species